GGGGGCGUAGUUCAGUUGGUUAGAAUGCCGGCCUGUCACGCCGGAGGUCGCGGGUUCAAGUCCCGUCGCUCCCG
rnacentral:tRNA from 1 species